GACGAACGCUGGCGGCGUGCUUAACACAUGCAAGUCGAACGGAAAGGCCCUGCUUUUGUGGGGUGCUCGAGUGGCGAACGGGUGAGUAACACGUGAGUAACCUGCCCUUGACUUUGGGAUAACUUCAGGAAACUGGGGCUAAUACCGGAUAGGAGCUCCUGCUGCAUGGUGGGGGUUGGAAAGUUUCGGCGGUUGGGGAUGGACUCGCGGCUUAUCAGCUUGUUGGUGGGGUAGUGGCUUACCAAGGCUUUGACGGGUAGCCGGCCUGAGAGGGUGACCGGCCACAUUGGGACUGAGAUACGGCCCAGACUCCUACGGGAGGCAGCAGUGGGGAAUAUUGCAUAGUGGGCGGAAGCCUGAUGCAGCAACGCCGCGUGCGGGAUGACGGCCUUCGGGUUGUAAACCGCUUUCGCCUGUGACGAAGCGUGAGUGACGGUAAUGGGUAAAGAAGCACCGGCUAACUACGUG
rnacentral:rRNA from 1 species